rnacentral:rRNA from 1 species
CAAUCCUUCGGGUGCGUUAAUGGGCGUCGAGCGGCGGACGGGUGAGUAAUGCCUAGGAAAUUGCCUUGAUGUGGGGGAUAACCAUUGGAAACGAUGGCUAAUACCGCAUAAUGCCUACGGGCCAAAGAGGGGGAUCUUCGGACCUCUCGCGUCAAGAUAUGCCUAGGUGGGAUUAGCUAGUUGGUGAGGUAAUGGCUCACCAAGGCGACGAUCCCUAGCUGGUCUGAGAGGAUGAUCAGCCACACUGGAACUGAGACACGGUCCAGACUCCUACGGGAGGCAGCAGUGGGGAAUAUUGCACAAUGGGCGAAAGCCUGAUGCAGCCAUGCCGCGUGUAUGAAGAAGGCCUUCGGGUUGUAAAGUACUUUCAGUUGUGAGGAAGGGUGUGUAGUUAAUAGCUGCGCAUCUUGACGUUAGCAACAGAAGAAGCACCGGCUAACUCCGUGCCAGCAGCCGCGGUAAUACGGAGGGUGCGAGCGUUAAUCGGAAUUACUGGGCGUAAAGCGCAUGCAGGUGGUUCAUUAAGUCAGAUGUGAAAGCCCGGGGCUCAACCUCGGAACUGCAUUUGAAACUGGUGAACUAGAGUGCUGUAGAGGGGGG